AUACUUGUACGGGCUUUUUUUAAAUAGAUACAUUAUCGUCUGAUUAUUCAUCUUCAUACGACUUUCUAAAACUUCUAUGAGUUGUAAAUUAUGAAGUUAUUUUAAUAUUAGUAUACUAUGAUUUUUUUAUACAAUAUUUAACGAAGAAAAUAUAACUUAUGUAAAAUGAUAAUUUAAACACUGCAAACUCUUAUUGGGUUUUGCUUUUACGUGUGACAAUUAUAAAUUUAAAAUCCAAAAAGUAAUAACGAAUUUUAAUAUUUAAUAUUACGAUGACGUGAUAAUUUGCGUUUUUCGAUAGCUUCAGAAACUCAAUUAUAUGAUUGUAAAUUCAGUGUCAGUGUUAUAUCAGUGCUUUUCAACUUUUUUUCUAUCGCAAUCUGCUAAAUGAAUGUUAAUUUUUAUAGCGAUUCCUAAAUAUAUAUUUUAUGCAUGGUGAUACGAUAUUUUAUAUUUUUAGCGGCCCUAAAUAAUUAGUUGGUGACUCCUAAAGAGGUCGUGACCUCCAGGUUGAGAAACACUGUUGUCUGUAUUGCAUACUACACGCCGUGCUGCCACUGUCACACCAUAAAAUAGUACUACUCUAUGGUCUGCACCGUAGUCCAUGGUUUUAACUGAUAAGACACGAUUAAUUUAUCAUGAUCGUGUAUUUUACACAAUUAGCAUAA